rnacentral:rRNA from 1 species
ACGAACGCUGGCGGCAUGCCUAACACAUGCAAGUCGAACGAGACCUUCGGGUCUAGUGGCGCACGGGUGCGUAACGCGUGGGAAUCUGCCCUUGGGUUCGGGAUAACAGUUGGAAACGACUGCUAAUACCGGAUGAUGACUUCGGUCCAAAGAUUUAUCGCCCAGGGAUGAGCCCGCGUCGGAUUAGCUAGUUGGUGAGGUAAGAGCUCACCAAGGCGACGAUCCGUAGCUGGUCUGAGAGGAUGAUCAGCCACACUGGGACUGAGACACGGCCCAGACUCCUACGGGAGGCAGCAGUGGGGAAUAUUGGACAAUGGGCGAAAGCCUGAUCCAGCAAUGCCGCGUGAGUGAUGAAGGCCUUAGGGUUGUAAAGCUCUUUUACCCGGGAUGAUAAUGACAGUACCGGGGGAAUAAGCCCCGGCUAACUCCGU